rnacentral:tRNA from 4 species
GGAGAGUUGGCUGAGUGGUCGAAGGCGCACGACUGGAAAUCGUGUUUACGUUGAUAGCGUAACUAGGGUUCAAAUCCCUAACUCUCCGCCA